rnacentral:tRNA from 3 species
GCGAGCGUGGCGGAAUUGGUAGACGCGUUGGACUUAAAAUCCAAUUCUGGUUUCAGAGUGUCGGUUCAAUUCCGACCGUUCGCACCA